rnacentral:tRNA from 1 species
GGAGAGAUGGCUGAGUGGUUGAAAGCGCGCGCCUCGAAAGCGUGAAUACGGUAAUGCCGUAUCGAGGGUUCAAAUCCCUCUCUCUCCG